GAAAAGGAAAGAAACUAGAAAAAAGGAAAAGAAAGAACGAAAGAGGAAGAAAAGAAGGGUUUCGGCAGAAAGCAAGGGAUGAGAAAGGGAAGGGAGAAAGAGAGGAAGAAAGGAAAACAGAAGAGAAAUGAAGGAGGAGGGGAAGUCUGGGAAAUCAGGAAGAAAAACAGAGGAGACAACGAGAUAGAAAAUAGAAAAGUGCAGAAAUUUUUCUGCAAAAAACCCAUUACCAGGCUGGCGAACCAGCCCACUUUCUGGUCACAUUCCGACCAAACCUCCAACCCUCAGAGUGAGAUUUCAUUUUCUGCACCAUCUAUGGAUACCCAUGAGCAACUUUUGUGAAGAAAUCGCCUAGCAAAAACCCCUCCAAGACAGCCAAAUCGAAGCUCCAAGUCACGGGUUCGCUCUUGCUGCACCCACUGUGACGAAAUUUGCUUGACUUCAUCUCACGAACCAGUCAGUAUUUCUGGGGAGAUUUCAUGUUUGUUUGAUCCCACAAACAUUCUUAGGUAACCUUUGCUCCUCCUUUUGUUCGUUUUUCAGUUUUCAUGAAGAUUCAAGCUAGUUUUAUGCGAGUUCUGAGUUUGUUUUGCUGUUGUCAACAACCAUGGUCAUCUUUCUGGUUGCGUUGAUUUGGUGAUACUCGAUCAUUUUUUUCCCUUCGGUCAUUCGAUGCAGUCUUGGUGAUCCUUUGAUGGGAUUAAAUAGGGAAUAAAAAUCAUGAGAAUGACCCUGUAACUAGGAGUCAAAAUCUCCAUUUCCUUUCUCAUUAUUCUACCGUUCCUUUUAACUUGAACCUGAGUUGCAUAAUCUUGUGUUGGGUUUGGAGUUUUUGUGGCUAGUUGCUGUGAUAUUGAGUCUAGCCUUCG
rnacentral:lncRNA from 1 species